GGCUACCGCUAUUGGAGUUCGAUUAAGCCAUGCGAGUCGAGAGUCUUAGGGACUCGGCGUACCGCUCAGUAACACGUGGGUAACCUGCCCUAUGCUGGGGAAUAACCUCGGGAAACUGAGAAUAAUGCCCCAUAGUCCACCAUGCCUGGAACGGUUGGUGGAUUAAAGCUCCGGCGGCAUAGGAUGGGCCUGCGGCGUAUCAGGUCGUAGGGGGUGUAACGUACCCUCUAGCCAUCGACGCGUACGGGUGUUGGGAGACAUAGCCCGGAGAUGGAUUCUGAGACACGAAUCCAGACCCUACGGGGUGCAGCAGGCGCGAAAACUUGGCAAUGCGAGAAAUCGUGACCAGGGAACUCCAAGUGGCUGGGGUAAGACCCAGUCUUUUCUUGACUCUUCAAAGGUCUUGGAAUAAGGGGUGGGUAAGGACGGUGCCAGCCGCCGCGGUAAUACCGGCGCCUCAAGUGGUAGUCGAUUUUAUUGGGCCUAAAACGUCCGUCGCCUGCUUGGUACAUUCGUGGGUAAAUCAACCAGCUCAACUGGUUGAAUUCUGCGAGCACGGCCAGACUUGGGACCGGGAGAGGUGUGGGGUACGCUCAGGGUAGGGGUAAAAUCCUGUCAUCCUGAGCGGACCACCUGUUGCGAAGGCUCCACACUAGAACGGAUCCGACGGUCAGGGACGAAGCCUAGGGGCACGAACCGGAUUAGAUACCCGGGUAGUCCUAGGUGUAAACGCUGUGGACUUGGUGUUGGGAAGGUUCCGAGCCUUCUCAGUGCCGAAGCGAAGGUGAUAAGUCCACUGCCUGGGGAGUACGGUCGCAAGGCUGAAACUUAAAGGAAUUGGCGGGGGAGCACCGCAACCUGAGGAUUGUGCGGUUU
rnacentral:rRNA from 1 species